AGAUAGAUAAUACAUAAAUAGAUAGAUACAUAGAUAGAUACAUAGAUAGGCAGGCAAGUAGAGAGACAUACUAGUUGCCUCCUCCUCCAUUGGAUAAACAGACAGUCACACACAUAGACUAGCUUCUCCCAUCCUCCAAUAGAUAGGCAGGCAGGCAGGCAGACAGACAGACACACUAGAGGCGGGGUGCCACUGGGGACGUGGUUCGGCGCUGGCUACAGGGGAAUAGGGUGCCCCUGGCCAGCCAGAGGAUUUUCUUUCAUGUCCCUAGCUGCCUUGCCAGGGGGCGGCCUCCGCUCCCCCAAGUUUGCUGGACUCAAGCCUUUGAAGUCAGCCUGCUCCUGGGAGCAGGCAUGGUGAGGUCAGGGGAAGAGGUUGACGGCAGAGGCGGAGGCGGCACAUCAGCAAAGGGGGUUGCCUCGGCGAGUUGGUCAUCAAAGUCAUUUUAUUAAAAACAAAAAUUACAGCCAUUAUUGUAACUUAACCAAGUAGCUAACAUUUCAUGUUUUCUUUCAAAAAGGCAGAAUUAAAAUGCUAUAUUAAUGCUAUCAAUAUUUUGUCUACCACUUCAGCAAAAACUCAAAAUAAAACAUAAGAGUGAAGAGGAAGAAGAGGUGAGAGCCCUGGGACCUUGGUUAUGUUACUCUUUGAGACCAUCUGCAUUGUAAGGGUUCUACCACCUUCCUGACAGGACUGCUAUGACUAUUACAGACAAUGGAGGAAAAGCACAAGCAAUAUGGUAGAAGUUCAAGACAUGGUGGCUGUUAUUUCUUGAGGAAGACAUUCCAAAAAUGGUUCUAUAAUCAUUAACAACAUAGUACCUCACUUCUAAUUUCUGAGCUGUAUUAGAAACGAUUAAAGUUAA